rnacentral:rRNA from 1 species
GACGAACGCCGGCGGCGUGCUUAACACAUGCAAGUCGAGCGGUAAGGCCCUUUCGGGGGUACGACGAGCGGCGAACGGGUGAGUAACACGUGGGUGACCUGCCCUCAGCUCUGGGAUAAGCCUGGGAAACCGGGUCUAAUACUGGAUAUGACUCCAUGACGCAUGUUGUGGGGUGGAAAGCCUUGUGCGGCUGAGGAUGGGCCCGCGGCCUAUCAGCUUGUUGGUGGGGUGANGGCCUACCAAGGCGACGACGGGUAGCCGGCCUGAGAGGGCGACCGGCCACACUGGGACUGAGACACGGCCCAGACUCCUACGGGAGGCAGCAGUGGGGAAUCUUGCGCAAUGGGCGAAAGCCUGACGCAGCGACGCCGCGUGAGGGAUGACGGGCC